rnacentral:piRNA from 1 species
UGGAAGAGGAUAUGAUCCCAUUUGUGCUUA